AAGAAAGGAGAAAGUGAACCUAGCACCCAAGUGCAGGUUCCAAUGGGAGCAGAGGAAGCUCCAAGAAAGAGCACAGCUUUUGUGUAUGAUCUGUUGCACGCAGGUGUAUGAAAUUUUGUUAUCUAUAAAACUGUUUAUGGAGCAAUACACUUGCAUACCAGGGUCUGAGAUGGGGAUGAAGCUUCAGAGAUGAAAGAUAUGGUGUUAGGAGACUAGAUCUGGUCGGAAGCCAGGCUGCAAGCUCCUGAGGACAGCUGGCAUCCCUGAGCUCGCUCGCUACUGGAUCCCCAGCAGUUAAAAUGAUGAAUGAAUGAGUAACUGCAAUUCAGUGGAGUCGGUUGACUCAAGGAUGGACUUAAGUCAGAGAGCUGAGCAAGAGGCUCGGGAAGGGAAGAGCCAGGCAGGAGGAACAGCGUGUGCAAAGACAUGAUGGUGAGGCUUGGAUUGGGCAAGAGCUUGGAUUCUUUCAGGAAGCCCUUGGAGGAUUCUAAGUAUCCAACCAACAUGAUCUGAUUUGCAUUUUAGAUCAUCUAUAUGGAGAAUGCCUUUGUUCAUUCUACUUCUUAACACAUUUCAUAAACAAGCCCUGCUGUACACGAGCGCUGCGCUGGGUCUAGACAGGCCCCAUCCAGAGGAAACACAAUUCUUUGAAAUCUGGAGUUUUACUUGUACAGCACAUCUCCAUGUGUCCUUGGCACAUUUCAAGUGUUCAGUGUCUCCGAGACAAGCCGCUGCCAUACUGAAUGGUGUACGGGGUACCAAACGUGUGGCCAAGGGGCAACUGGCAAUACCAGGAGACAUUUUGACUGUCACAACUUGGGGAAAGGGUACUCCUGGCAUCUCAUGAGUAGAGGCCACAGAUGCUGCUAACAUGGCGCAUGGCACAGCAACAAAGAUUUAUCCAGCCAGAAACAUCAGCAGUACUGAGGUUGAAGAACCCAGAUCCAGAGAGAUGCCAUAGAGUCUUGCAGUGAGCCCUGAGAUGCCCUGGCAUUUAAGGACUCCUGGCUGAUGUCAUCUCUAAAUAUGCAGCUUUAAUUGCUCCUCUCUACAGCAGCAAGGGAAAAGGAGAUCUUCGUUUCUUGUUUUCAGCAC
rnacentral:lncRNA from 1 species